UUUUUUAGUGAAUUCAUCACUAUAUUACAAUGAGAAUACCCGCAAAGUUAAUCCUCAUUUUAAGUUGCUUUGUUUUACAUUUAAUUUAAAAGUUUUAAAUCUGUACAUCAACAUUGGUUACAACCUAACAUAGACUUAUUAUCCUUUAAUGAAGUACUACGUUCGUUUGGCUUGUUUGCUAUAAUAGUAUACAAUCAUUACUUUCUCAAGAAAUUUGUUGAUGAAAAAAAAUGCCUAGUGUAGACAUGAGAAAUAUUAGAAUUUAAAAGUGUGCGUGAUAAAAAUGCGAAUCUUUUACUUUUUACAAGUUGCCAUAUAACGAAUGGGCCAGGUUUUUGUCCCGUGAAGAUGUGGCACUACAAUUGACUUCAGAAGUGCGUGGGUCUACUCACGAGAAUCAUGACCCAACUGGUAGUCCACGUCCACA